UGAAACUUCAGCUAGACCUUGAGUUCAGUUUACAAUAUGAAGAUCCUGAUAUCAACAUCUGAUCUGAUCAACACCUGAUUUUCAUCUGAGCUGCAGAGUACCAACAUGUUACAAAUGAGAAUUUUCCCCACAAAUUCUUUGGACAACCGCACCACCACCUAUUUCAUUUGAUGACAAUUUUAAGGCAAACAGCAUCCAAAACUGACAAGACAGCAGAUACCCUGGCUAAUCUUUUGAAGGUUUAUGAUGAGCAGGAACUGCAUGAUGUCAGUUCAUGAUGGACUACUGUUAUCAGAGGUCUUUUGGUCUUGCUGCGUGAGCGUGACUGGGGAUUCUUUAGGACCACCCUGAUUAAUAAUCCUGAAGCGCUGACUGAAGAUGCUUUAUUGGCCCUGCAGUCACUGAGGGUCUCUGCUGUCCAGAAGAAUGAAUUGGACACCACCC